rnacentral:rRNA from 1 species
CGCGUGGGUAACCCUACCUUCAUACACUUGAGGAUACCAUUCUGAUAGGUAUGUUAAUCCAAGAUGGUUUUAAGGGGUUUGGCAUGGGUUUUCUUAUCAAAAGGUCCGGCGGUAUGAGAUGACCCCGCUUUUGAUUAGGUAGUUGGUAAGGUAACGGGCUUACCCAAGGUGACGAUCCAGUAGCCGACCUGAGAGGGUGAUUCGGCCACAUGCGAACUGAGACACGGUCCAAACUCUUACGGGAGGCAGCAGUGGGGAAUAUUGCACAAUGGGCGAAAGCCUGAUGCAGCAACGCCGCGUGAGCGAUGAAGGGCAUUCGGGUCGUAAAGCUCUGUCCUCAAGGAAGAUAAUGACGGUACUUGAGGAGGAAGCCCCGGCUAACUACGUGUCAGCAGCCGCGGUAAUACGUAGGGGGCUAGCGUUAUCCGGAUUUACUGGGCGUAAAGGGUGCGUAGGUGGUUUCUUAAGUCAGGAGUGAAAGGCUACGGCUCAACCGUAGUAAGCUCUUGAAACUGGGAAACUUGAGUGCAGGAGAGGAAAGUGGAAUUCCUAGUGUAGCGGUGAAAUGCGUAGAUAUUAGGAGGAACACCAGUAGCGAAGGCGGCUUUCUGGACUGUAACUGACACUGAGGCACGAAAGCGUGGGGAGCAAACAGGAUUAGAUACCCUGGUAGUCCACGCCGUAAACGAUGAGUACAAGGUGUCGGGGGUUACCCCCCUCGGUGCCGCAGCUAACGCA